rnacentral:rRNA from 1 species
UAGGGAAUAUUGGGCAAUGGGCGCAAGCCUGACCCAGCCAUGCCGCGUGCAGGAAGAAGGUCCUCUGGAUUGUAAACUGCUUUUCUCUGGGGAUAAUUGUGAGCUAUACGCUUACUUGAAGGUACCAGAGGAAUAAGCACCGGCUAACUCCGUGCCAGCAGCCGCGGUAAUACGGAGGGUGCAAGCGUUGUCCGGAUUUAUUGGGUUUAAAGGGUGCGUAGGCGGAUUGGUAAGUCAGUGGUGAAAGUUUGCAGCUCAACUGUAAAAUUGCCAUUGAUACUGUCAGUCUUGAGUGCAGUCGAGGUGGUUGGAAUGCGUAGUGUAGCGGUGAAAUGCUUAGAUAUUACGCAGAACACCAAUAGCGAAGGCAGAUCGCCAGGCUGUAACUGACGCUGAGGCACGAAAGUGUGGGGAUCGAACAG